AGAUUUGUUAUAUGUAUUCAUUAUUUUAAUGAUAUAAAUUGUGUUAUUUUCACUUUUGAAUUAUUCAUUACUAAUGUAUGGAAAUACAACUGGGUUUUAUAUGUUGAUAUUAUUUGCCUCAACGUUUCAGAAUUGACUUAUUAGCUUUGAUAGAUAGGUGGUGUAUGUGUUUCCUAGUAUUUGCUAUAUGCAAGAUCUUGCAAAUACAGCCAUCUUCCACAUAACACUUCAGUCAACAACAGGACUACAUAGACAAUGGUGGCCUCAUCAUAUUAUAAUAAUUUUACUGCACCUUUUUAUGUGUAAGUGUGUUUAAGUAAACAAAUGUUUACCAUUGUGUCCUAAUUGCCUACAGUAUUUAGUUUAGCAACAUGCUGCACAGGUUUGUAGCCUGAGAGCAAUAGGCUAUAUCAUAUAGCCUAGGUGUGUGGUAAGCUAAACUAUCCAGGUUUCUGUGGGUACAGUCUAUGAUAUUUGCACAAUGACAAAAUCACCUACAUAUGCCAUUCUUAGAAUGUAUCUCUGUUGUUAAAUCACCUAUGCAUGCCAUUCUCAGAAUGUAUCUCUGUUGUUAAGUGACACAUGAGUAUAUACUAUUACAUCUUCCUUUGCAAUCUGGAUACUAACAGUUGUACUGUUUCUCAACUGUUGUGUCCUCAGCAUUGGGAGGAUGUUUUGAGCCAAAUAACUUGGGCCCAGCUUUCCAAAGUAAAACUAAUCUACUAACUGAAGAAACCUUAGGGCUGGAUAUUCAGCCCUUAAUUUGUAAAAGGAUAUUUGCAUAGCCCUUUGCUGGGUGAAGGAGAAGUAAGGGAAAGACUUCCAAAGGUCAGUUUCCCAGCCAGAUUACUGAGGAAUUCCAAUUGCUAAUGACCACAGGGUGGGCGACACAGUGGUACACUGGGUACACUGCCAGCUGACACUGGCCACACCUACACAGCAUCUCUGAAUGCAUGUGGUUAAAAUUUCCUGGUGAAUUUAGGAUCCAAAAAAGAAUUCUAGGUCUUCUGUCCAGGUAGAAGCAUCUAGUUCUGGCUUGUUGACUCUGUCCCUGCUUCAUCUUAUAUUUCUACCUCAUGCGCAUAUACAAUCAAAUGUGUUGAGUCUGGGAAGAGUAGAGAAAAGGUGGUACAAUGCCUGUCUCCCUAGGUGCAGUGGGUUAGCAGACCCUCUGGACAUGCGACCAGAUCAGAGACCAGGCCUAUGCGUCCACCAAAUAGGUGAUGGCGAUUGUUCAGGAUUUGUGCUCUGUGCUUGGUAUUUCAUCUUACUACAGAGGACAGACGAAAGAGCUGUGUAUUGGAGCCUGCAGAUGGAUGGGGAUGGAUAUGACAGUAGAUUUCUUCUUCUGAGAAUACACUUUCAACCUCUUGUUAACACAAUGGCAGUCUUUGCUCUUCACUUCCUGAGCUGACCCUGUGAGCAUUACCUAAUGCUUUCCUGAGCCUCUAGUUGCUUUGUAGUCAGUGAAGGAGAUGGCUUUCACCCUUAACGUCUCCAAAAGUAACUUUAGUUCCCAAAUACUUACUAAUUUGCAUUGGUUUCGGGUAGGCUGGACUCACACACCAUCUCUGCAGUGCAAUGCCAUGUUCACUUCUGAAAUCCCAAAACCCGAAAGGAUGGAUUCCCACUGAGACCUAUAGAGGAAAGCUGCUGAAGAGAAAGGACAGCAGAGAUACAAUUGCCUAUGUUGAGAGAUGCUCUUGAGUCCCAUAACAUACAACCUACCAGUUUUCUGCAACCCGAAAGCCCAGGGCUGGCACUAUAAUCUUAACUAGUCACUACAUAAGGCUUUUGUUUUUAUGAUGUCUAUCCAUAGUUAUAGUUCUUCAUUCCACAGAUGCGGAAAAACUGUGUUAUCCUUGAGAAUUUGAUAUCUCAGGACUGUGCAAUGUGGAUGUCCUCUGUCUCCCAGUAUGGUGUCCCACUCUGAUGGUAGACUGACAUCCAGCACCAUACAGCUGAGUUUACCCAGCCCAGGCAAAAACCUCAAAAAAUUGAAAAAAUAAAAUAAAAAUCAAAAUAAAAUAGUAGAGAAACAAUUUUUUUUUUAGGCAAAAAGUAUUAUCACCUAAAUUAACAACAGUCCUCAUCUUAUUCUCCACAGGAAAAAUAUCUAAACACAGGACCCUGCCUGCCCAGUGACUAAUCUUACUGACCCUCCUAGAUUUAACUAGGCUCACAGAUUCCUAAAAUUCUUCCAGUAUAAGAAGAGAUCAGCCUGCAGAAAUGCUUUAAAAUUGUUCCGAGGUUUAGAUACAAAAUUAAUCAGGUAAAGUGAGAGAAUGGAAGAUUUUAAGAGACAAUUCCUUCAGAUGAAAUAUUGGGCUGUGCAAAGGAGCUGCCUAAAACAUGACCUGCUUGAGGUGCUAGUGUUAUUUCAGCCUCAGUAGGAAGAUCUCAGAAGAUCUCACUUAUUAGCAUUUGCUAAAUGACAUUGACCUGCAGCAUAGGUGGGAGCAAAAAGAGGCAGUUUCACCUGGCUGCUAGCCCCAAUUCAAUAAGAAAUAUUUAUUACCAAACUGAAAUUCUUCUGAGAAAUCUCCUAAUCUGUAAUGUGGGAACAAUAACACCAGCUUGUGUACCUCACACAAGUUUCAGAAGAUAGAACAUGUUCAAGUGCUGUGCAUAUGUGUCCUAAUAAUUCACUGUAAUAAAAAUUGGGUCACCCCAUUCUAGAAAAGACACUCAUUUGCUGAUUUAUUUUAUAAGUAAAGGUCAGCUCUUCUACAAAUCCAUGUAGGAAUGUAGGAGAAAAAGAGAAACUAAUAUUUUGUAUUUCUGUUUCUUUCACUUCAAAUUGCAUUUUGUAACUAAUGUAAAAACUUUACAAGUGCUAUAAGAUCAUUGGGAAUAAACAAAAAAAUUCAGAGAUACCUCUUGUGGAAACUAAGCAAUGAUGAGCUCAUACUCUGUAGUUACCAGAGAGUCUCUCCCUUCAUUGUCUUGAACUAUUUCACAACUUUAUAAAUUGCAGGUAACUUAUAGCAAUGCAAAAUAAUUCUUGUUUAUUGAUAUACAAAUGAAUUAUGUGCAGUGACAUUUCUAGGGACUUCUCUCAAUCUGCACUGGGUUUAAUCCUGUUUCUGAAAACUUAGUAUCUACCUGGAAUCUCAGAAUGUGCUCUUAUUUGGAAAUAAAAUGAUGGCAAAUAUAAUUAAGUGAAAAUGAGGUCAUCCUGGAGUAAGGAGGUCCCUAAGUCCAAAGACUGUUUUUCUUAAUAAGAAGGCCAUGUAAAAAUGAGGGCAGACAUUGUAGUGACGCAACUUCAAGUAAAAAUACUAAAGACUACCGGCAAACAUCAGAAGUUAGGAGAGAUAGGAAACAGAUUUUUCUCAGAACUCACAGAGGAACCAACUUGGCAACACCUUGAUUUCAGAAUUCUAACCUCUAGGACUGUGAGACAAGAAAGUUUUUCUGUAUUAAGCCACCCGGUUUAUGGUGAUUUCCUAUAGCAGCUCUAGAUAAAAGCACAUUGACACCAUUUACAAAUUUCAUUUAUAUAAUUUCACCAUUCCUAUACUUCAUGUUAAAACUGAGCUUCAUUAACUUUUUUAAACUGCUUAUAACAUGUUACUGAUUUUUUCAUUUAUAAUUUAUUAAAUAAAUUUUAAUGUUUUAUGUUAAAUAAAAUUUUAAUAUGUAUUUUUUGUAUAUUUGUAUGAGCCAUGAUUUUAUCCAACCACAUUUGCAAAAAAUAUAACAAUGAGAAAAUUAUAACAGUAACAGAGAACUGAUCUAACCGUCUUGCCCUUAACCUACCUACUGCCCUUGUUCAUUCCUGGGCAUAAACUAACCUAACUUUGAGAAAAAUUUAGUCUAUAGUUUAAAGGAGAAUAGUCCUUCCCAAAACUAAAUCACCUUUGUAAAACAAUGAAAGACCACCAGGUUAGGACAAUGAGAGGGGCGUGAUCCUGCUAAGAUGUAGAUGUAGUUAAAUGAUUACUGGUCAUUAUUCUGGAGUUGCAAAUUCCCCAAUUACUCCUGUAAUUAACAUCACUUUUGUAGAACUUAAGACUGGCCUUUUGAUGUGUUUUUUCAAGUUUUGUCAUUUUUAACUACCAAAUGGCCCAACUAGACAGGCGACUCUAGACUCAGCCAGUCCUGUUUCUGCCUACCAGAAUUGAACUCAGCACAAGAGGACCACUUUCCACAUCCCUGUGAUUCCAUACCCAACCUAUCAGAAGCACCCAUUCCCUAGCCCCCACCUGCCAAACUGUCUUUGAUAAACCCUAGCCUCCAAGUUGAUAGGAAGGCUGAGUAAUAAUAAAACCCUAGGCUCCUAUUUAGCCAGCUCUAUGUGUAUUUAAUCUCUUCCUCUAUUGCAAUUCACCUACUGAAAAAUCAGCUGUCUCUGGGCUCUGGACAAAAUGAACCCAUUGGGUGGUUACAUCAAGAGUUGGAGGUUAAAAGAAAGAAAAAAGAGCAUCUCAGUGUUGUCAAAACUCAUUUUUGAAAAGAAACCCUUGUGAAGAAUAUUAAUGUAAAGUAGCUUUUUGAUUAUGUACUCUUCUGUUAUUCUGGAGAUCAGAUGCUGGUGUGUGUGUCCACUAUUUCCUGCUCUGGAUCCCUGAACUGUCUCUGACUCAUUCUUGGUCGGCUAAGUAUGAGGUCUCACUCUGUCAUGCAUGAUGGACUGCAGUGGUGCAAUCAUGGCUCACUGUAGCUUCGACCACCCUGGCUCCGGUCAUCAUCCUACCUCAGCCUCCCAGUGGUGUCAGUCAUCAACCUUGUGAUCACUGAGGAAAAGAUACAAUAAUCCUUGCCUAUCCGUGAGUUCUGUCUAUAUGUAUUCAACCAAGUUUAGAUUGAAAAUAUUUUGGGGAAAAAUGGAAGGGUGCACCUGUACUGAACAUGUUCCAACAUUUUCUUGUCAUUGUUACUUAAAUAAUACAGUAUAACAACUAUUUACAUAGCAUUUACACUGCUUUAGUAAUUAUAAAUAAUCUAGGGAUGAUUUAUUUAGAUAGUCUAGGAAUGAUUUAAAUAAUCGAGGAUGGUGAUAUAUGGGAGGAUGUACAUAGGUUAUACAUAAAUACUACACCAUUUUAUAUCAGGGUCUCAAACAUUCAUGUACUUUGGUAUCCAACAGGGAUUCUGGAAUCAAUCCUCCACAGAUAGCAAGGGAUAACUGUAUUAGUUUUUCUUUUCUACACUGUUUAAUGGAUGCUGCACCCUUCCUACUCUAGGACCCAACCAGGAUCCUGAGCCCUCACUUUCUCCCUGCGUUCCUCAUGAUCCAUUUGACUAUAAUGCAGAAAGUUUGUUUAGCUACUGGCUGGUAUCUGUAACUCCUAUGACAGCUCACACUCCUUGAAGAAGAAGAGAGAAAACAGAAGACUUGUCCUGUGGAUAGAUUAUUUCUUCUUCUGUUUGUUUGUUCUUUGUAUGCUCUCGACAACAUCCACAUACACAAAUGCACAUACAUAAACACAGAAACUUUUUCUUAACAUGGACAAUCUGAAAGAGAAAGCAGCACAACAACCAUUUUGGAUGAUCGAGACUAUUUUUAUAUUAUUACAGUACAAUUGCAGAAUGAAUUCAAAAGGGCAAGCCCCUAGCAAUGAUAAUGCUAAAUGGCUGGUGGAUGUAAAUAAUUAGUGGUCAAUAUAUUAUCCAUGAUAUGUGGCAAGUUUGAAAGUUGGAAAUGCAGAAUCCCUGUUCUGGUCAUAUUAUUGUACUUGGAUCUGCUGGGAACCAUUUGAUACUCUGGGAUUCUCAUUGAGAAUCCAGUGAUAGCUAAUGUUGAAUAUUGCUUGCUGCUGGGCAACAGUGACUGUCAAAACAUUCCGUCACCACUUUUUUUUUUCAGUUUAGAAAAAGGGUCUUGGAUGUUGCCUAGGCUGGCCGGAAACUCCUGAAGUCAAGUGAUUCUCCUGUCUUUGCCUUUAGUUCUGGAAGUACUGGGAGUGAACCUCUGCACCAGGAUUUCCCUCACCAUUUUCUGUAAAAUGGCUUACUACAAAGAACAUUUCUGUAGUAUAUUUUUAUGUAUGUAUGUAUUAUGUAUUUAUUUAUUUAUUUAUUUUUGAGACAGAGUCACAAUGCUGCCCAGGCCCUAGUGCAGUGGUGUGAUCUUAGCUUACUGCAACAUCUGCUUCUGUGUUCAAGAGAUUCUCCUGCCUUAGCCUGUGGAGUAGCUGGAAUUACAGGUGCACACCACCAAGCCCGGCUAAUUUUUAUCUUCUUUGGUAGAGACCGUGUACACACACACACACACACACACACACACACACACAUUUAGGUAGAUACGAGGUCUCGCUCACAGCAGCUUCAGCAAACACAGAUUUCUGGUGUUGGAGGACAGAUUUAACUACAGAAAAUUCUGUUGGGCAAUCGGAAGCCUCAAUCUAUACAGACUUUUAGGAGGAGCCUGCCUGUUUGGUUCAAAUUUAGCCAAAAUAUUUUUUUUUUACCACUGAUUCAGUAAAUCUCCUAACUUUGCAGGAACUGGGAUCCUAAAAAUUAUGGAACGAAUUGUAGAAACUCAAGCAACUUUCUCCAAAGCCUAGGGUUCAGCAAGAGUAAGCAAGAGGCACUGAGCCGCUGGAGUCUGCACAUUGAUAAAUUUACUUACAGUCGUAAAUAAAUUGCAUCAUCUUCAGCUAGUAACACAGAGUCUAAUUUUUAUAGCGGCAUACUUGCCUCCACGACUUUCCUAGACACCAGAAAGAAAGGCGAGAGCCAGCCUUAGCCUAAUCAAGAACCAUGAUCCAAAAAGGAGUGGGAGGAACCUAGCGGCCACGUGGGAAUCCCAGCCCUCCUAUUAAGCCUACCCUCUUUGCAAAUUGUGACUGUGAGCUCCUGGUUUACAGAAAUAUAUCCCAGAACUCAAGCAACAUGAGCCACUAUAAUUGUCUCUGGAAGGUGACCCAUUUGCAGAUAGGGACUUCCCUGAAGGUUGGGGCCCUCAUGAGCUAUGCUUUCCACCAAGUUGUCUCUAUAAGGACCAGUUCCAGGACCUCAGGGAGGAAAUUUCACUUUCUGCCUUGGUGGAAUGUGAAGUGAGUGGCUCCCCGGCCACACCCCACCCUCCAUAAAAUAGAAGGUAAAUCCCAACUGCCAAAAGCUUUUUGUCCUCCUCUCAGGGAUACUAAUUAAAGCAGUUGGGCUACUUUUUCAUGCAUUUCAUCUCAAGUUGUCUUUCUGCCUAUCUCCUGAGCCCAGCGAAAGAGUUCCUUAAAAUAACCCUCAAACCUCUGUAGUAAAGGACCACACAAAUAACGAAUGCCAUGAAAAAACAGGGCUAGAGGUUUCAGAGGAUGAGAAAGGAAGAGCAGCCAGAACACUGGCUGUCUAGGUAUGCUACUGGUGCCUGACUCUGCACCUGUGUGUGUCUGUGUGCUGUGUUCCAAUGGCAGAGCAUCGGGGCCACCAGAACUCUCUCAGCUACCGCACAUGGAGAGGGAGGAGUGAUAAAGAGAAAUCAAGAAACUCAGUUUCUUUGAAAUGGAAAUCAAUAAACUCAGUUUCCUCAAAGUUCAAAAUACAUGAGACUGCCUACCCUCCUUGGAAGGCAAGGUGGGGCUUUCUGAAGCAAAUACCAGCUUUAAAAAAAAAUGUAUAUAUAUAUGAAGAUAUAUACAAAAAAAAAAUUUCCCCACAACCAGACAAUCAGAAUCAUCAAACCCAGAAGGGUUAAAGAAAAAGAAAAGGCCCAGGAAAGUAUGAUUGGUGGGGAUCAAAAGUAUCUCUCCACAGUGGUAAAUGAGAAUUCUCAAAAAGAGUAAAAUUAUAAUUCUCAUGCACAUAUAAAAUAAAUAUGUAUUACAGAUUUUACUUAAACCAUAUAGCUCAAAAUUAGCUAACAAGGAAGACAUUAUAACCUGUUCAAAGAGAAGCCAAAGAAGGGAAAUUUAUAUGCUGUAAAGAAAUAUUUAAAGGAAUAUGGCAAAACUGACUCUUAAUAGGAGAUGCCCUAUGUGGUACAUAAUUUGUUUGUGUAUCUACACACAUGAAUUAUUUUGCACUUGUAUCACUAUCUACAACUUACACUGUUGUAAAGUAACUCCCACACAAUCAGAAUCAUAUAACCCAAAAAGGUAUCUUCCCUAACCAAACAAGGUUUUCCAAUAAAGCACUAUUUUGUCUCACAUUGCCAUAUUUUAAUGGCCUUUGAAAAUAUUAUUUCUAGAAAAGGGUUUGAAGGAAAUUUGGUUGGACUUGACUUUUGUACCCUUGUUAUCAUUAUCAUUAUUAUUAGUGGUAAUUGUAGUUCCCUGCUGAGACUAAGCACUCAGCUCUUGAAAUGCCAAUCUCAAGACUUUUUCUUCCAAAGCUUCCAGAAAUAAUGGAAGAAUGUGUAGGCUGCAUGCACAAUGAAAGCCAGUAAGUAGAGGAAGACUCUACAAAGUUAUGUUUGUUUCAGAAACAGUAGUAGUGACAAAAAUAUAUGAAGAUAUGCAAUAGGACUAAGUUAAAGUAACAUGCAAUUAUUUCUAAAACUCAGAAUUGUAUUUUACCCAUCUGAUUCUGCCAGGUUUUGUUUCCAUGAGACAUGCAGUCUCAUGGAGAGAUAAACGCAGUCUUGGGUUGGCUGAUGAUGUUUUGGGGACAGCCACAUUAUUUUAAUAUUAAUUUUAUUCUUAUUUAACAUAGUUUUAGUACUGCUGAUGUGGAAUAUUCUUAACAAUGUCUGUUUUUUGGGAAAUAAUAAGCUUAAAAUCUUGAUAACUGCUUCUGGGGCAGCAGUCAGGGCCUAGCUCCUCUCUGAGACUCCAGAGGUCAUGCUUAUCCAGUCAAGGCAACUUUUCAAGGCAAGUAGGAUCCAGGAUUCCUGUCAAGUAAGUGGGCUCAGUCCUGACUGACAAACAAACAAGCACAAAAACAACCCCUCCCCACAAAAAAACACACAUACAAGCUUGGGUGGAAAGCCAGUAUACAGUACCUGAGGAAAGACAAGAAGAGCAAACUGAAAAGAAACCAGAGAGGCUAAGAAAAUAGCCUAGAUAAAAGGAAAAUGGUGAUGAAGAUAUUCAAAAGUACCUCUCUGAUAGUUACACCAUCCUGCAUUCAGAGUCCAUGUUUCAUAUUAUAAUCUUCUCACUGCCUUUGUCUUUGUUUUUUUU
rnacentral:lncRNA from 1 species